rnacentral:rRNA from 1 species
GACGAACGCUGGCGGCGUGCCUAAUACAUGCAAGUCGAGCGAAGUUUUUCUGGUGCUUGCACUAUAAAAACUUAGCGGCGAACGGGUGAGUAACACGUAAAGAACCUGCCUCAUAGACUGGGACCACUAUUGGAAACGAUAGCUAAUACCGGAUAACAGUAUUUCUCGCAUGAGAGAUAUUUAAAAGUUGGUUAUGCUAACACUAUGAGAUGGCCUUGCGGUGCAUUAGCUAGUUGGUGGGGUAAAGGCCCACCAAGGCGACGAUGCAUAGCCGACCUGAGAGGGUGAUCGGCCACACUGGGACUGAGACACGGCCCAGACUCCUACGGGAGGCAGCAGUAGGGAAUCUUCCGCAAUGGGCGAAAGCCUGACGGAGCAACGCCGCGUGAGUGAAGAAGGAUUUCGGUUCGUAAAGCUCUGUUGUUAGGGAAGAAUGGAUAUGUAGUAACUAUACAUGUAAGAGACGGUACCUAAACAGAAAGCCACGGCUAACUACGUG